AAGGAUCAUUAGUGAAUUGCUCUUUGAGCGUUAAACUAUAUCCAUCUACACCUGUGAACUGUUGAUUGACUUCGGUCAAUUACUUUUACAAACAUUGUGUAAUGAACGUCAUGUUAUUAUAACAAAAAUAACUUUCAACAACGGAUCUCUUGGCUCUCGCAUCGAUGAAGAACGCAGCGAAAUGCGAUAAGUAAUGUGAAUUGCAGAAUUCAGUGAAUCAUCGAAUCUUUGAACGCAACUUGCGCUCUCUGGUAUUCCGGAGAGCAUGCCUGUUUGAGUAUCAUGAAAUCUCAACCAUUAGGGUUUCUUAAUGGCUUGGAUUUGGGCGCUGCCACUUGCCUGGCUCGCCUUAAAAGAGUUAGCGUAUUAACUUGUCGAUCUGGCGUAAUAAGUUUCGCUGGUGUAGACUUGAGAAGUGCGCUUCUAAUCGUCUUCGGACAAUUCUUGAACUCUGGUCUCAAAUCAGGUAGGACUACCCGCUGAACUUAA
rnacentral:rRNA from 2 species